CGCGUUCGACAAGAUAACAUAUAUAUGUGCAUGAAAUGACUCCAUUUUGAUUAGAUAUAAUUAUAAAUGCAGUGUAGUUAAAGAUGCAUGUAGUUGGAAAUACAGCAGCUAUAACUAUAUGAAUCUUGUUUGGUUGGAUGUAGUAGAAGCGCUGCAAGUAUAAAUAAUUUGUUUGAUUGCAUGUAAUUGAGAAAUAAUUUUUAAAAUUUUACUAUUUUAUAUAUAUGAUGGUGAGAUUACCUCCAAUGUAAAAAAAAAUAAUAAUAAUUUUUGUUUAAAAAAUAUUAAAGAGGUAAGCAUAUCUUUUAUUUAAAACUACUCCCUCGAUCUGCUGUAGUUGAAACUGCGGCCAAUUUGAGCGUAGUUCGAACUGCUGUAGUUGAGCCUCCUCCUGCAGUUCCUACUGCAACAGUAAAAGUUAAAUACAUCAAAUCAAAUACGAAAUUUGCAUUUACUUAUAUAUAGUUACAAUUGUAAUGCAGUUGCAGCUACAUACAACCAAACAGCCCCUAAAUAUAUAUUAUUAUACCAGUUAGAUUAUAUGGUGAUAGGUUUGUGUCUCAUAUAGUG
rnacentral:lncRNA from 1 species